GAUGUAAAGAAACUGAAUGCACAAAAAGCACUCUGCAGUGAAUGAAAUGUGGCAUAAACAUGCAAAUAUGCCCUAAUUUGGUUUGUUAAUAUCUCUCAGGGCAGUAAGUAAACUACGUCCUUUUAGAGGGAUUUACCUCCCUCUUAAAGUCAUCCUUCAGCCCUGUACUGGGGGGCACACUUGUUCUCAGUGGAAUUAUAUCCAAACAUUUGGAAUACUUAACUGUGGAGUAAGAAUAAUACAAAUAUACUGUAAAUCAACUGGAACUUGAUUAAACUAGACCAGAACCUCUAACUAUAUGUGAAUGUACUUACAUUUCCAGAAUGCUUGUCAUUCUGGCACUGAGGAUGGAGUUGGUGUGCUUUUGAUAAAUACCGGAUUAGAUCUCCUAACUUCAAACAAGCGUUACACACCAAUUUUUUCCCCACCACUGCUCAGCCCUGCACAAACACAGCAUCCGAAACCCAGCACGCCACCGCAAGCUCCACUUCAAAGCUUCAAAAACUUCAACACAGGCUUGUUUACUUUUUCUGCACCUUUGACUGGUUCAUUUCCUCAUGUUGUGAGAGGGAGGGGUGCAUGGUCAGAGAACUGAAUACAGUUUUAACUAGAUUAAGACCACAUAUUAUUUAGUCUGUUUAGUCAGUCUGUUAGAUUCUGUUCUAUCUGGAUUUUGUAAUAAUUGAUAAAAAUGUUUAUCUUCCAUUUAAAGGAAAAGUUCACUCCAAAAUUUAAUUUCUGUCAUUUAGUCAACCCAAUAUUAGACUUUGGAAUGUUUAUGCUGUUUUUCCCCGUACAGUGAGGAUGAGGGCAACCAAAAAGAGUAAUUAUAUGAAUGUAUGUCUGCAUAUGUAUGUAUAUAUAUAAAAUAGAAUUAUGAGGAUGUGGGAUGUGUUUGUGGAUUCAGUUUAUACAGCUUAAACAUUCUAAAGAUAUAUAUCAACAAAAAUCUCAUCAAGUUUGGUCAGAGGUUUUGGGGCAAUCUUUGACAAUAAGCUGACCUUCAAAGACCACACUGCAAGGACACCACGAUCAUGCAGGUUUGAAUUGCACAAGGUUAAGAUACUGAUGUUUGCAUAUAGAACAGCUGCAGUCUCCGCACCCAUCUACGUACCACUCAGCCUUAUGAGUACUUCCCCUUCAGAAGGCUUACGCCAGUAAAUGAGUGAUGCCUCAUGGUACCAUUAGACGGGCACAAAAUCAAUCAACCAGAACAUUUUUGUUCGCUGUUUCUUGUUGGUGGAAUUAUCUACCUAACCCAAUCUGGGACAGAAAAUCCCUGACAAUAUUAAAUAUACAUCUAUUCCGUCAGAAAAAAAAAAAAAUCUUCCUCUAUGCUUUCACUAUACUUUAAUUCUAAAUGAUGUCUGAAACUUUGUAUCACUAGCACUUCUCUUGUUUACUGCCUGACUAUGAUGAAUCGCUUGCCGUAUUCCUCAUUUACAAGUUGCUUUGAAUAAAAAAUCUGCAAAACGAAUAAACGUAAAUAUAAAUACAUAUUAUAUAUACUUUUGCAUUAUAUUCCUCAUAGUCUUCUGAAGUCGUACAAUAGCUUGUGUCAGGGAACAAAUUCAUAUCAAUAUUCAGUGAAUGUACGAGGUAUCUUGAUUCUCCAUUAUUUGAAUGUAUGCAAACAUGAGUGUUGGAUUUUAAGGAUUAUGUAUUAAGUAUUAUGGUUUUAUAUGGUUUUCUGUCCUUUUUUUUUUUUUUUUGAUAAUUUUUCAUGUUGUAUCCCUAGAACACGAGACUGCAAAGAAGGAAAAGGUCAUAACAAAACAAAGAGGCUAGUGUAUAUUUGUGAGUGACCUCCUGGCCUUUCAACAUGUGAGCA
ensembl:lncRNA